CAGAGGAGGAGAUGUAUCCUCGAGAGGGGGAGCCACAUCCUCGAGGAGGUCAUAGAUGAUUUUGAGUUGUGUUUUGUCUUCUUUUGUAUUGUUCUUGCUUUACCUAUUGUAUGCUCAAAUGUAUUCACCUUCAUAUCAAUACAAUGAGUAGACAUCUUAUUUUCAUUUCUGUGCCAUUUGAUGAUUGACUGUGCCAUUUGUGCCAUUGAUUGUGUGUGAUUACCUCCUUUUUGGUAUGAUGACAAAAAGGGGGAGAAAUGUGUAAGUAUAAAAUAUGUAAAAGGGGAGAAAUAUUAAAAAAUAUGUAAAAGAAAUCAAUGGAAAUAAAUAAAACGAUAAACUCUUAAAAACACACAUAAAUUUGUUCUAAGUGGAUUCGGUACCUCGAGGCUCAUUAUCUCUCUUUUGGGGCUCCUAAUGGAGUAAUCUCCAGAAUCUAUUCAAGGGAUAUUCGGAGAUUAGCUGAAUCCUACUCAAGAACAAAUUGACAGAUUUUUCCUCUAAAAACAAAAA
rnacentral:lncRNA from 1 species